UGUCGUCAGCUCGUGUCGUGAGAUGUUGGGUUAAGUCCCGCAACGAGCGCAACCCUUGUCUCAUGUUGCCAGCGGGUAAUGCCGGGGACUCGUGAGAGACUGCCGGGGUCAACUCGGAGGAAGAUGGGGAUGACGUCAAGUCAUCAUGCCCCUUAUGUCCAGGGCUUCACACAUGCUACAAUGGCCGGUACAAAGGGCUGCGAAGCCGCGAGGUGGAGCGAAUCCUUUAAAGCCGGUCUCAGUUCGGAUCGGGGUCUGCAACUCGACCCCGUGAAGUUGGAGUCGCUAGUAAUCGCAGAUCAGCAACGCUGCGGUGAUACGUUCCCGGGCCUUGUACACACCGCCCGUCACGUCAUGAAAGUCGGUAACACCCGAAGCCGGUGGCCUAACCCGUAAGGGAGGGAGCCGU
rnacentral:rRNA from 1 species